CCUACGGGAGGCAGCAGUGGGGGAUAUUGCACAAUGGAGGAAACUCUGAUGCAGCAACGCCGCGUGAGGGAAGAAGGUUUUCGGAUUGUAAACCUCUGUCUUCGGUGACGAUAAUGACGGUAGCCGAGGAGGAAGCUCCGGCUAACUACGUGCCAGCAGCCGCGGUAAUACGUAGGGAGCGAGCGUUGUCCGGAAUUACUGGGUGUAAAGGGUGCGUAGGCGGGAAAGCAAGUCAGGCGUGAAAACUAUCGGCUUAACUGGUAGACUGCGUUUGAAACUGUUUUUCUUGAGUGAAGUAGAGGUAGGCGGAAUUCCCGGUGUAGCGGUGGAAUGCGUAGAGAUCGGGAGGAACACCAGUGGCGAAGGCGGCCUACUGGGCUUUAACUGACGCUGAGGCACGAAAGCAUGGGUAGCAAACAGGAUU
rnacentral:rRNA from 1 species